rnacentral:rRNA from 1 species
GACGAACGCUGGCGGCGUGCUUAACACAUGCAAGUCGAGCGGUAAGGCCCUUUCGGGGUACACGAGCGGCGAACGGGUGAGUAACACGUGGGUGACCUGCCCUCAGCUCUGGGAUAAGCCUGGGAAACCGGGUCUAAUACUGGAUAUGACUCCAUGACGCAUGUUGUGGGGUGGAAAGCCUUGUGCGGCUGAGGAUGGGCCCGCGGCCUAUCAGCUUGUUGGUGGGGUGAGGCCUACCAAGGCGACGACGGGUAGCCGGCCUGAGAGGGCGACCGGCCACACUGGGACUGAGACA